rnacentral:rRNA from 1 species
GACGAACGCUGGCGGCGUGCUUAACACAUGCAAGUCGAACGGUGAAGGGGUCUGCUUUUGUGGGCCCUGGGUGAGUGGCGAACGGGUGAGUAACACGUGAGUAACCUACCCCCUUCUUCUGGAUAACCGCAUGAAAGUGUGGCUAAUACGGGAUAUUCUGGGUCUGUCGCAUGAUGGGUCUGGGAAAGAUUGCGCCUUUGGGUGUUUUUGGUGGGGGAUGGGCUCGCGGCCUAUCAGCUUGUUGGUGGGGUGAUGGCCUACCAAGGCGGUGACGGGUAGCCGGCCUGAGAGGGUGGACGGUCACACUGGGACUGAGACACGGCCCAGACUCCUACGGGAGGCAGCAGUGGGGAAUAUUGCACAAUGGGCGCAAGCCUGAUGCAGCGACGCCGCGUGAGGGAUGGAGGCCUUCGGGUUGUAAACCUCUUUCGCCAGUGAAGCAGGCCUGCUCCUUGUGGGUGGGUUGACGGUAGCUGGAUAAGAAGCGCCGGCUAACUACGUG